rnacentral:rRNA from 1 species
AUGAGCACGCUCAACACCGCACGGAACCAAACGAGGUGGUGCAAGUUGGGUGACCCCAAGCAAUACUCCACCUCUCCAUCCCUCCUCCUAGAUAUGAAACCACACCGCAACGGGUUCCGCAACCAACUUCCCUGUCAAUACUCCGUUCUCGUUAUUUCUUAUCCCCACACACGCGCGCACGGCGACGAAGCAGUCAGAACGCAUCAGCAGCGGCAGAAGAAGAUUGGAUUGGAUAGCGCAGGCGAGGGCGAGCCCUCACCGUCGUCACCGCCGAUGAGGAACCCGCCCGGCCGGCACCUCCUGCGCGUCGCCACCCGCGCCGUGCGCUCCUCGUCCGGGUUCGGCGGCGCCUCCACGUCCGCCACGUCCCCCGGCGCCGCCUCGUCCGGGGGCCGCCCGCGCAGCCGAGGCGGCGGCGGCGGCGGCAUGCUCCUGCGGGCCACGUCCCCGCCCCCGCCCUCCGCCGUCGCGGCCGCCGCGUGCUGGGAGUCCCGCACGCUGCGCCGCGACGGGGAGGACGACUGGGAGGAGGUCGUCGUCGCCGCGGCCGACGGGGCGGCUCCGGGCGCCGGCGACGCGGAGGUGGACAGCGACUACAGGGUCGUGUUCUGGUCCCCGCCCACCGGGGACGAAGUCCGCGCCGCCUUCUCUAGCAUCCAGGAGGUGUUUGAGGGUUCUUAUUAUGAUGUGAAUUCAGAUGAAACUGAGAAACAACUAGCACUGCUGUCCAACUCAGAGCAUUCCUCAUCAACCAAUUCAUCAGGAUCAGACGAUUGGGUCGAACCUGCUGCAUAUGUUCUCAACUCUACUGCUCUUCUGACCAGGGAGCAUAGGAAUGUUUUGGAUGCCUUCCGUCUAUUGCAAAGAGACCCUAAUGUUCAGAAAAUGGUUAUGUCCUUGUCAUGUGAUAGGACUGUAUGGGAUGCUGUAAUGAAUAACGAGGCAGUGCAAGAAUUCAGGAGAUCUUUCCAGGAUGGCAAAGAAGUUAAUAGAAAGGGAAACUCUUGCGGCCCUGCUGUAGUGCUUAAGUGGAUCCUGGCCAACACCCAGGCAAAAAUAACGGAAUUCUUCGAUAAUAUAGCGAAGAUUGUCAGCAUGCUCUUCCACCCUCAAAGCGACGAAGACAAGCCCGAUCUGUACAGCGAUGCAGUGAAGGUGUCCUUCAUGCUCUCGGUGUUCGUCUUCAUCGUGGUGGCCGUUGCUCGUACCAAUUAUGAGCCGUGGGAUUUCGAAGUGUGGUGAUUGCAAGAUUUCUACGAACACGUUUUGUAGGACAUCACAGGCACACGAAACUUGUACAUUGAUUAUUACUGGGCUGUAAUCAUUUGCUCAUGAAACUGUUGUAAAGGUAUUGUUUGUUUUGACUCUGUUUUUCGUUUCUGUAACUGUAAAGUCAAUGAGGAUUCUUCAUCGUGUGAUGCUUUCCAACCCGGUGGCCCUGCGUGUAGAGCUUGAGCAGCGCCAGCGAGUAGUUUCAGACAAUAGAUAGAAUGCUGAAAAGAAUUGGAAAAUCUUGCCACGAAAUGUAUAUAUUCUGCUUAAAGCUGCAAUCUUUC